GGAAUGCUCAACCUGCAUUCUUAUACCCACUUAAUAGUCAAAGAAGUGGAAAGCAAGAGGAAUUGCAUCCAUGCUUAAGGUCAUAUAGCUAAGCUCCACAUCUAGGAAGUCGAAGUCUCUGAAGACUCUAAACUGCUGCUCGCUGUUUGUGUCAUCCAUGUUCUCCUGCUCUCGGGCGCCGUCCUCAGAAGAUACCAAGCUUGUCUGGUGCUCAAGCAGAUCCAGAUCCCCACAC